UAGAGUUUGAUCAUGGCUCAGGAUGAACGCUGGCGGCGUGCUUAACACAUGCAAGUCGAACGGGAAUGCCACGCUGAUGCGAUUUCGGUCAAAUCAUGUGGCAUUCGAGUGGCGGACGGGUGAGUAACGCGUGGGUAACCUGCCUUACACAGGGGGAUAACACCUGGAAACAGGUGCUAAUACCGCAUAAGCGCACAGGGCCGCAUGGCCCGGUGUGAAAAACUCCGGUGGUGUAAGAUGGACCCGCGUCUGAUUAGCUUGUUGGCGGGGUAGGGGCCCACCAAGGCGACGAUCAGUAGCCGGCCUGAGAGGGUGGACGGCCACAUUGGGACUGAGACACGGCCCAAACUCCUACGGGAGGCAGCAGUGGGGGAUAUUGGACAAUGGGGGAAACCCUGAUCCAGCGACGCCGCGUGAGUGAAGAAGUAUUUCGGUAUGUAAAGCUCUGUCAGCAGGGAAGAAAGAAAUGACGGUACCUGACCAAGAAGCCCCGGCUAACUACGUGCCAGCAGCCGCGGUAAUACGUAGGGGGCAAGCGUUAUCCGGAAUUACUGGGUGUAAAGGGAGCGUAGACGGUGAUGCAAGUCUGGAGUGAAAGGCGGGGGCCCAACCCCCGGACUGCUCUGGAAACUGUGUAACUUGAGUGCAGGAGAGGUAAGCGGAAUUCCUAGUGUAGCGGUGAAAUGCGUAGAUAUUAGGAGGAACACCGGUGGCGAAGGCGGCUUGCUGGACGGUAACUGACGUUGAGGCUCGAAAGCGUGGGGAGCAAACAGGAUUAGAUACCCUGGUAGU
rnacentral:rRNA from 1 species